AAAAAAGACUAGAGCCAGAGAACAGGCGGAGAAAUAUGAUAUCUGGUGGUGGUCGUGACAUCUGACCGCCAGACGCUAGUCUCCAAUCCCUUCUGUCUAUCUCUCUUUCUUCUUGCCUGUGGCAAUACUAACAAUAAUAACGAUUCGAGUUUCGCUGGCCAUGUCUGCAACGGCCGCCAUUGCCUUCGCUCCUCUCAGUCCCACCCUCUUGUCCACUAAAAACAACAGUAAAGUCCUAUUCAGCCCCAUACUCGCACCAAAUGUUAAAACCACAAUAUCUUUAAGGCCUUUUCUGUUCAGAGUCCAGUAUGGAUCGCCCAAACGAAGCUCCACAUUUACUGGGUUCAAGCCCUUUUCUCCUCCUGUCAUGGAGUGGCAGGAUUGCACGGUUAAAAGGGAUAUCGAUGUGCCUGUUGCUGUGGCUUAUAAGUGUUACUCAGACCGCGAAUCAAUUCCCCGUUGGAUGCCCUUUAUUUCGUCCGUAAAGGUACUGGAAGACAAGCCCGACCUAUCGCGAUGGUCACUCAAGUAUAAAGCAUUUGGUCGUGAUAUUGAAUUCUCUUGGCUUGCUAGAAAUAUGCAGCCAAUCCCAAAUCAGAAAAUUCAUUGGAGAUCUCUGGAAGGUCUUCCUAACAGGUAACGGGAAAAAGCAGGUAGCAGAUAGUGCAUUAAUGGCAAGUGUAUUAUCAAGAAACAAGAAGAUACUGUCUGGCCUUGGCACUUUUUUAAAAGAAUUGGAUCAUUAUUUUUCUUGUUAUUAUUUUUGGCUAGAUCCUGUUUGCUCAUGUUUUCCUAUGCUUAAUAAUGGAUCAGAAGUCUGCAAUCACAGAAACGACUCUAUAUACUAUCUCUCUGAUAUCACCACCACUAGUUAACACAACUCUCUUAACCGUAUUAAGGUGACUCAAAUAACUUGUGCUCCCAGAACAAAAGAUAGGAAGCUAACAUAAAUGCCUGCUAUAUCAGCAUUUCUAAGGAACAUUAGGUUUCUAACUUCUCAGGGCGCACUUAAUUUUACACUUAAGAAGUUUUCCCUGCACAUGUCUAGUAAGGUAAGGGCAAAGACUUGUGGCAGUGCACAUGUUAGUUGGACCUAAUUCGUUUGGACUUAGUUGUUACUAUCAGACUGGCAGUUCCUCUUGCCCUCUUAAGUUCAAGUUUUCUUUUUCUUAAGUACAAGUUUUCUUUUUCUUUUUCCUUUUCCUUUUUUUUUUGGUUUUUAUUUUGAAGUAUCUUCAAAUUGGGUUGAUAUUUCUCUAUGAAUUCACAUUAUUACAAGUUUUGACUCUUGACUAGCUUGCGCUGUUGGAGAUUGUGAUGGUGCCAAACACUAAGUGGUUUUCCAUGAAUGUAAAGUAGGAACCCUAUUUCAUCAAUGUGUCCGUGUCUAAAUUCUGCAGGAUUCAUCUCAUGAACAAUAACUAAAAUAUUGAGGUGCUGUUCGAUUCUUUCCUAAGGGUCCUUCAUCAUGUACAGUAGAGCUAACUGUUUCUUACGAGGUUCCUCAACUUUUGGUUCCAGUUGCAACAGCUUUGCUACCUUUCCUUGAGAGCUUACUUGUACGUGGUCUGGAAAGAUUUGCAACAUUUGCGGAAAGCUCUUUGGCAGACUGAAACCUAUGCUUUCAGCUGGAUAACCAAAUUUCGAUAAUUGGUAAUUUUCAACAACUAUUUUAAUGUGCGAAGUCUUGAAAUGAAAUAUAGUCCUUUUUACACUAGAAUUUUGCUGUUUUAAAAGAAAAAGAAAAAAAAUUGCAAUCACUGUUGCGUAGAGUAACAGAGUUCUUGAUUUAUUAUCAAUUGUAAUCGCUAGUAUUUUACAUGCAUGAAUUUGCCAUUGGUUGGCUUGUCUUAAAGAAAUUCCAUUUGUUACUUGGGAAUUAUUUGGUGUUAUUAUUGGAGUUGUUUUUAAGAACUCCCAAGGGAUAGGAUUCUGAGAAGAAAAGCAAAGCUUAAAAAGCUGCUGGGAGUCUGUUUCAAAUUGUGUUUGCAUGUGAGCGUGAGAGGGCAUUUCUCAUUGGCAGAUAGGAAUAAGAUUGUUACUAAAAAUUUGGUUCUGAUUUUGGUAUCUCUUAAAUUGUUCUUGAUUAAGGUUUAUUAUCUCUUCGAAAUUGAAAUGAGAAUAUGGGUUUCUCUUGAUUUGAUUUUAUACUUUGCGGUGAACCCACCAUGUCUCCAUGAUGACAUCCACCUAGACAAUCAUGUUCGUAAAAUACCGUCAAGUGGAUUACUAAAAAUAUUCCUUCUGUUUACCCUUUGGCAUAUCCAUUUCACAGUGUUCCAGUAUACAGUCAUAUGCAGAACUAUUUUCUACUACGAUAUCCUGCCAAUCAUAUCAUGGUAUUUUGCUGAAUGAUUUUUGUAUAGCACUCGGAAUACCGCAAAUUCCAUAAAAUUGCAGUAGACAUAAGAACAAGCUGCCAAUUGCCAAGGAAAAUAGAUGGAAAUAAAAAUUAAGAUCUUUUAUUCAAACUGUAUAUACAUGGAGUACACAAUUGAAAAUAGAAUAACAUCAAAUGGACAACCAUACUGGACAACCAUACUGGACUGUUAGGAGAAUCAAGUCCCCGGAUGAGCACAUUAUACAGUACACCAUUUUAAUCUCAGCACCAACACCUCCAUCCACCACACUCCACUUACGUACAUCCAUCCAACUAACCGCCUGCUGUUUGAAAAAUCAGCACCUACAAAACUGCUAGCUGCUUUUUCCAGAGUCAAAUUGAAGCAGCCAGUAGUAGUUGUUCACCUUCCAAAUAGGGAUUUUUAUUUAAAAAUUAUGCCAUGUACAUUCAACGGUUGGCACUGCUAUCCAACAAGCUCUUCAAGCUACACAAUGCCUCUGCAGAGAGGCUACAACACCUCGGUCUCUGUUGCCUAGGUGGUGAUGACUCCCUAUUGUCAAGGGGGGAGAAGCAGACAACAAUCACAGUCAGAUUGUCAAAUGUGUUCCGGCGCAAGGCCUCCAUGACAAGGUCCCUAGCACACAGAUCUGGAUCAUCAUGCCGCCUCAACCCCCGACGGACAAGGUUCACGGCACGCUGACUUGACAUGACAUCCCAAAUCCCAUCACAACCAAUAAUAAGAAACUCAUCAUCCUCUGUUAGAAUCACCUGCUGGAACUCUGGCUCCGCAAUGAGCGGCGAAGGAGCACCUUGGGGGUUUUUCAUGUCCCAAUCCCCAAGAGCUCGAGAAACUGAUAAAACACCAUUGAGAUAUCCAUCAUCAAUGUAACCACCCAAUUCCUCAACACGCCUUCGUUCUGAUGGAUAAACAGGCCUAUGGUCUUGAGACAUGUCUAUUGCCUCUCCUUUACGACAGAGGACAGCUCGGCAAUCACCAACAUUGGCCACCAUUAAUAGCCUUCCAAAUACAAAAGCAGUAAGUGCAGUUGUCCCGGAAGAACUGCUCACGCUACUGUCAUCUGCCAAAGCUAGGUCGGCCAGAAGAAAUGCUUUCCGAAGGGAGUUCUCAACCUCCUCCAAGAAGAUAUUAUCAACUUCAUAUGUUUGGGGAAAAUUAACAUCUUCAAAAAAGAGUCUGAUUGCAUUUUUCCUAAUAUAAGAUGCUGCUUCACGUCCUCCAUGACCAUCAAAAAUCUGCAAAUAUAUUCAAAAAAUCAAACAAUUAUAUGGCAAACAAAAUUAUGGAAUUUGAAGAUGUUUACACACAUUGGUCUGGAUGACACAUUACCCCAUAAAAAGCACUUGGCGUGGGAAACUUGAAAAGGGCACCCAGGUGUGUGGACAGAUCAUCUAUCCGUAUGUGCUCAUCUUCCAUACAUCUUCGGGGCCCAAUGUCAGCAAAACUGCCAGAACGGAUGCUGGGAACAAAAUGAAAGAUUGCAUUCUCAAGAGACACGUGUGGAAUUUUGUCAGCGGAUUUAAUAUCCACCACUUGAGAGGUAGAUAAAUCGGCAGGUACCGAAUCCGAAACACGAACUUGAUUUAACCUUCUGGGCGAGAUGUUAAGGACAUCUUCAAUCUCGUGAACGCCACUUCCAUUAGCAAAGUAUUGAACAUCCAACACAGGGACGCUCUGUUGACAGACAACCUUUGCUUCAGCCACCAUAUUUCAUUUACUAAACCAAAAUUUCUCUUCUCAAAAAGAUUCAAAACUCGAACUCAACACACACAAUUAGAGAUAUUUGUUUCUCUUCCUUCU
rnacentral:misc_RNA from 1 species